GGGGACGACCAGGUUUCGACGGGGUCGGUUCAGCGUGUUGGUUGCGAGCCGAGGUGGCUGGAUGGCCUCGUAAAACUCCAGCAAAACCAUAUGUGCGGACUCUCAUGAGUACGCCCUUCCCACCGCAGCUCUCGCAGCUUAAGUAGGGAAAGGUUCCGCCCUCGGCCAGCCGGCCGUCGGGUACGCGGAAUCAGAUCUAGCCGGCUUACCGAUCGCCCCGCCUCCGUGCGAUCGGGACACUUCAGGAGGCUGGCUCCCCUCGACCCGGUCCGCGAGGUGACGGGGGAGUAAGACACUUGACCGCGGACUACGCUCGUAGACGCCAACAUGGUGCGGCUUCGGACGGGGGUUCGAUUCCCCCCGUCUCCACUG
rnacentral:tmRNA from 1 species